GGGAUCGCCUUCUAGCUGUUUUUACCUGGCGUCAUCCGUCUACAAGCUCGUGCAGGCGUCGCCCUAUCAGAAUUACAGAGAUCCGAAGAUAAGCGCCUUGAUUGCGGCUGGGGCAUUGGGAGCCAUCAACACAGGAUAAUAUUUCUUAAGUGCUCUCCUGGCCUUCCGCAUUUACAGACGUGUAUAAGCAACGCCCAAACGAACCCAACGAGAGCUUGGAAAAAAUCGAGUAUUCAAAAUCUCAUCUUUCUAUCUUUGUACGUGUUUUUUUUAUUUAUUGCAGUUGUGACAUCACCGAUUAUCGCUUUCUAGUUAUUCACUUCAAGCUCACUGUCUAGAAUAUGUUCAUCAUUGAUUCAUACUACCAUUUCAUUCUUUUUUCAAGAGUUGAUUAAACUGCAUUAACCUGGCAUGGUGCUGUAAACGCAAUGUUCAAAUACAGAAAAAAAGAGCUACGAUGA
rnacentral:lncRNA from 1 species